UGGCGUGUACUCUUAACUGGUAAAGCAGACUCUGAUCAUUCAGGGUGUAUGUGGGUUCGACUCCCACCACGCCAC
rnacentral:tRNA from 1 species